CAAAGGUGUUAUUGGACCCACCGUGAGUCAAUACUUCCUUUUAAAUUUCCAUCUUUAUUUACUCACGGUAUUUUUACUUUUUUAUAAGCUUGGCAAACACCAAAAUCUUAAGGAAAUCAAGUUUUAGAGAGAUGUUACGAGAAGGCUUCGAUUCUAGAAACAACUAUAAUGUUAUAUAAUAAUGUUGUUUUGUUAUAUAUAAUGCAAGUCUAUAUAGAAAAUUGGGCUAACAAUAAGACAGAAAUACAACAUAUUGUAAAUUGCUUUAAAAUGAAAUAAGACAAUCAUAAAUAA